rnacentral:SRP_RNA from 1 species
GCCAGGCAUGGUGGUGCAUGCCUGUAGUCCCAGCAUUUCGGGAGGCUGAGGUGGGAGGAUAGCUUGAACUCAGGAGUUCUGAGCUGUAAUGUGCUAUGCCAAUCGGGUACCCACAGUUCAGCAUCAAUAUGGUGACCUCCUGGGAGUGGAGGACGGGACCACCAGGUUGUCUAAGGAGGGGUCAACUGGCCCAGGUUGGAAACUGAGCAGGUCAAAGCCCUGUGCCGAUCAGUAGUGGGACUGCGCCUGUGAAUAGCCACUGCACUCCAGCCUGAGCAACAUAGUGAGACCCCCAUCUCA